rnacentral:rRNA from 1 species
UACGUAGGGGGCAAGCGUUGUCCCGGAAUCAUUGGGCGUAAAGAGCGUGUAGGCGGCCUGGUAAGUCCGCUGUGAAAGUCCAGGGCUCAACCCUGGAAUGCCGGUGGAAACUGUCAGGCUCGAGUCCGGAAGAGGCGAGUGGAAUUCCUGGUGUAGCGGUGAAAUGCGUAGAGAUCAUGAGGAAGACCAGUGGCGAAGGCGGGUCUCUGGACAGUUCCUGACACUGAGACACGAAGGCCAGGGGAGCAAACGGG